CGAAUCAAGAGAAACGUCAAAAUAAUGCUAGAUUGAAUACUGUAAUGUGUGGUGUGCUAACAGGCACUGCAGCGGAUCGGAAUUUAAGCCGACUGAAUUUAUGUCGACUGCAAAACGUAAACAAUGUUUACGUUGCUGAUACGACCGGAUUGAUAAACUGGACGAGCAGUAGCUGCAUCUGCAUUAUCUCAUGGCUAGUGGAUGGACCUGCCAACUAUCCCUCAUUCGUUUGGAAUUUGACGGAGGAAAGUUGACUUCUGGUGAAACAGGAACAAUCGGAUUGACGGCUAAACCCAAGGAUACAGAUUUUACCCCGACAUCAAAAUUGGCCGGUGGAACGAAAAUUGCCAUAUUUUUAUUUCUAAGUUUAACCCAAAAACCCAACCUCUAAAUAACGAAACUAAAUAAUUUACCAUGAAUAAAAAUAAAUAGCAAAAUAAAUUAACAUUAAUUUAAGUAAAUAGAAAAAUAAAUUAACAUUAAUAUAAGUAACUAACAAAUUAACAUAAAUAUAAACAACAAAUAAAUUACUACUAAUAAAUAGAAUAAUAUACAAUAUACUUUGAUCAAAUAUACGAUAAUUUUAAGUACUAUC